GCAGACUGACCCCAGAUCGGUUCUCAGCAGACUGACCCCAGGUCGGUUCUCAGCAGACUGACCCCAGGUCGGUUCUCAGCAGACUGACCCCAGGUCGGUUCUCAGCAUGCUGACCCCAGGUCGGUUCUCUGCAGACUGACCCCAGGUCUGUUCUCACUGGAGCUUCCUUGAGGUUUUGUCAGUUCAGAUGAGUUGGAUCAGGCUGCAUUUCCCCUGGUUAGUGUCGCAGUUCACCCUGUCACGUUCACCCUCUAACGUAGAGAUCCUAACGUUCACCCUGACCCAGGCUGCAGGCCGGGUCCAGGGGCUUUAAGACUGGUCCCGGGGCUGUAGGCCGUGUCCGGGGGCUUUAGGCUGUGGCGGUCUUAACAUAGAGGCAUAGGUAGGACGCUACAUUGGGCCCCCAACCAACCAAAUAAAAAACAUUCCAUUAUGAACGCUUCAAAAGAAUAGCAAAUACUAUUAUUGUUAUGAAGGAAUACGUUGAGACGUUUAAGUUGUAGCUAAGAUGUCUAGUUCAUGGUUAUCUGUCCCUACACAAACACCCCCUACUUUCUCAAUGAAAUGGACUAGUACGUAACGGUGCGCGGCACGAAAGAUAAGUAGGAGGAAGUUUCCCAAGUGGCUC
ensembl:lncRNA